rnacentral:rRNA from 1 species
AGUGAACGCUGGCGGUAGGCCUAACACAUGCAAGUCGAACGGCAGCACAGUAAGAGCUUGCUCUUACGGGUGGCGAGUGGCGGACGGGUGAGGAAUACAUCGGAAUCUACUUUUUCGUGGGGGAUAACGUAGGGAAACUUACGCUAAUACCGCAUACGACCUACGGGUGAAAGCAGGGGAUCUUCGGACCUUGCGCGAUUGAAUGAGCCGAUGUCGGAUUAGCUAGUUGGCGGGGUAAAGGCCCACCAAGGCGACGAUCCGUAGCUGGUCUGAGAGGAUGAUCAGCCACACUGGAACUGAGACACGGUCCAGACUCCUACGGGAGGCAGCAGUGGAGAAUAGUGGACAAUGGGCGAAAGCCUGAUACAGCCAUACCGCGUGGGUGAAGAAGGCCUUCGGGUUGUAAAGCCCUUUUGUUGGGAAAGAAAAGCAGCAGGUUAAUACCCCGCUGUUCUGACGGUACCCAAAGAAUAAGCACCGGCUAACUUCG